GACGAACGCUGGCGGCGUGCUUAACACAUGCAAGUCGAACGGACAGGCCCUGAUUUUGUGGCGUGCUCGAGUGGCGAACGGGUGUGUAUCACGUGUGUAACCUGCCCUUGACUUUGUGAUAACUUCUGGAAACUGGGGCUAAUAUCGGAUAGGAUCUCCUGCUGCAUGGUGGUGGUUGGAUAGUUUCGGCGGUUGGGUAUGGACUCGCGGCGUACCAGCUUGUUGGUGGAGUAGUGGCUUACCAAGGUUUUGACGGGUAGCCGGCCUGAGAGAGUGACCGGCCACAUAGGGACUGAGGUACGGCCCAGACUGCUACGGGAGGCAGCAGGGGGGAAGAUUGCAGGAGGGGCGGAAGCCGGAUGCAGCAACGCCGCGUGCGGGAUGACUGCCUUCGGGGGGUAAAACGCUUUCGCCUGUGACGAAGCGUGAGUGACGGUAAUGGGUAAAGAAGCACCGGCUAACUACGUG
rnacentral:rRNA from 1 species